AUGAGUCUGUUCCCUCCUCACCCCUCUAAAGCCUGUAUAAAAACACCAUCAGGACAAGAUUCUGCAUCCAGUUUCUUAACUCAUCUCUUGAUCAAGGACUUCAGAGAGUUUGAUCAGCAACCAACUCAAGAUGUCUCUAACCCCAUUAGAAUCAGCAUUGCAAACUAUUGCCAACAUUUUCAACCAAUACAAGGAGGAUGGAAGGAAUCCUCCCACAGUCACCAAGGAAAGAAUGCAGAAGCUGAUGAAGGAUCAGCUCCCAAAUUUGAUACAGGAUAUGCACAGAUAUGAUGUCGAAUUGAGUUUUGAUGAGUUCCAGAAUCUUGUCGCCAAA